rnacentral:rRNA from 1 species
AUACGGAGGAUCCGAGCGUUAUCCGGAUUUAUUGGGUUUAAAGGGUGCGCAGGCGGGAGAUUAAGUCGGCGGUGAAAUUUUGCAGCUCAACUGUAAAAGUGCCUUCGAUACUGGUUUCCUUGAGUGUGGGUGAAGUAGGCGGAAUUUGUGGUGUAGCGGGGAAAUGCUUAGAUAUCACGAGGAACUCCGAUUGCGCAGGCAGCUUACUAAACCACUACUGACGCUCAGGCACGAAGGCGUGGGGAUCAAACAGGAUUGGAUACCCUGGUAGUCCACGCAGUAAACGAUGAUUACUGGCUGUUUGCGAUACAAUGUAAGCGGCUGAGCGAAAGCGUUAAGUAAUCCACCUGGGGAGUACGUUCGCAAGAAUGAAACUCAAAGGAAUUGACGGGG